rnacentral:rRNA from 1 species
GACGAACCGUGCGAACGUUGUUCGGAUUCACUGGGCUUAAAGGGCGCGUAGGCGGACGGUCAAGUCGGGGGUGAAAUCUUUCAGCUUAACUGGAAAAGUGCCUCCGAUACUGAUCGUCUCGAGGGAGGUAGGGGCAUGUGGAACUUCCGGUGGAGCGGUGAAAUGCGCAGAUAUCGGGAGGAACACCGGUGGCGAAGGCGGUUCUCUGGGCCUGACCUGACGCUGAGGAGCGAAAGCGUGGGGAGCGAACAGG